rnacentral:tRNA from 1 species
UAGCAAACAAAUGCAUUAGAAUUAGAAUCUAA